GGGGGGAUGACGUCAAGUCAUCAUGGCCCUUAUGCCCAGGGCUACACACGUGCUACAAUGGGCGGUACAGAGGGAAGCGAACCCGCAAGGGGGAGCAGAACCCAGAAAGCCGUCCUCAGUACGGAUCGGGGUCUGCAACUCGACCCCGUGAAGCCGGAAUCGCUAGUAACGGCGGAUCAGCAUGCCGCCGUGAAUACGUUCCCGGGCCUUGUACACACCGCCCGUCACACCACGGAAGCUGGCUCUGCCCGAAGUCGCUAUCCCAACCCCCGGUAGGGGGAGGGAGGCGCCGACGGCAGGGCUGGUGACUGGGGUGAAGUCGUAACAAGGUAUCCCUACCGGAAGGUGGGGAUGGAUCACCUCCUUUCUAAGGAG
rnacentral:rRNA from 1 species